UACUUUUUGUACGUUGCCGUGAAUGUGUGUGAGUGUGAGCUGUUCGAAAAGAAUCGAUUCUGCUUCUGCUCUAACCUUUGUGACCGAUUCGUUGUAAAGAACUGACUCAAAAGAAUGAUUCCUUUGCGAAUCGAACACUGCUAGUUCAGAUUCUGAACAGUCGAGAAAAAAAGUCGGAUAUGCGAUAUAUUUGUUGAAAAGUUGCCGGGAAAUAUAACGAAUAUAAGUCAUCCCUACCAUGUUAUUUAAUUAAAAACUACUAAAAAGAUACGAGAGUUUAAAAACUAGUGAUGUUUCCACUUUACAACUGAGAAAUGAAGAGCUUCACUGCCCCACGCUGAUGGCUGUUAAGGGAGAGGAAACUGAACUCAACUUGAAAUCAAAUUGAAACUUGACGAAUCAGAGCCUGAUGUACCACUGAAGCCAGAGUACAGUCUUGCUUCUGUAAAAGCCAACAGAGCUCAAACUGAAACUUACGGACAGACAGACAGACAGACAAAAUGACGGAGAGAUUAAAGUGGAGGAGAGGAGUAAAUGUCUAAAGCAGCUGACCUUGUGCCAUCACCCUUGACAAGAUGCAUGUCUGGAGUGCUGAGAUGAGUCUCUGGUCACCAGCCGCUAACCGUCCAGACAGAGACUCUCUAAGUGCGCUGGCUUUAGAGGAGGAAGUCCAGAGCCUGGGAGAUGCUAUCACCACCAACCAGCUGAGACCAGAGCGGAAACCAGAACAGAAACAAAGAGAGACAGAAAGAGAAAGAAACGGCGGUGGUUUGGGUGGUGGUUAAUGGAAAUAAAAGACAGAUCAUAAUUCUCCAAAAGGGCAAUAGGCUCACAGCCAGUCUGUCAUAGAAGUAACAUGACAUGUGAAGAAUUCUCUGUGG